GACGAAGGGGGCUAGCGUUGUUCGGAAUUACUGGGCGUAAAGGGCGCGUAGGCGGCCCGCUAAGUCGAACGUGAAAUCCCCGAGCUCAACUCGGGAACUGCGUCCGAUACUGGCGGGCUUGAAUCCGGGAGAGGGAUGUGGAAUUCCAGGUGUAGCGGUGAAAUGCGUAGAUAUCGGGAGGAACACCAGUGGCGAAGGCGACUACCUGGCCCAUUCUUGACGCUGAGGCGCGAAAGCUAGGGGAGCGAACGGGG
rnacentral:rRNA from 1 species